rnacentral:rRNA from 1 species
UACGUAGGGUGCGAGCGUUAAUCGGAAUUACUGGGCGUAAAGCGUGCGCAGGCGGUUGUGUAAGUCAGAUGUGAAAUCCCCGGGCUCAACCUGGGAACUGCAUUUGUGACUGCACGGCUCGAGUGCGGCAGAGGGGGAUGGAAUUCCGCGUGUAGCAGUGAAAUGCGUAGAUAUGCGGAGGAACACCGAUGGCGAAGGCAAUCCCCUGGGCCUGCACUGACGCUCAUGCACGAAAGCGUGGGGAGCAAACAGG